UACAGAGGGUGCAAGCGUUAAUCGGAAUUACUGGGCGUAAAGCGCACGUAGGUGGUUUUAUAAGUUUGAUGUGAAAUCCCCGGGCUUAACCUGGGAACGGCGUUGAAGACUGUAAGACUUGAGUCGGUGAGAGGGUUGUGGAAUUUCCGGUGUAGCGGUGAAAUGCGUAGAGAUCGGAAAGAACACCAGUGGCGAAGGCGACAACCUGGCACCAGACUGACACUGAGGGGCGAAAGCGUGGGGAGCAAAC
rnacentral:rRNA from 1 species